rnacentral:rRNA from 1 species
CCUACGGGAGGCAGCAGUGGGGAAUAUUGCACAAUGGGCGAAAGCCUGAUGCAGCGACGCCGCGUGAGGGAUGACGGCCUUCGGGUUGUAAACCUCUUUCAGCAGGGAAGAAGCGAGGGUGACGGUACCUGCAGAAGAAGCGCCGGCUAACUACGUGCCAGCAGCCGCGGUAAUACGUAGGGCGCAAGCGUUGUCCGGAAUUAUUGGGCGUAAAGAGCUCGUAGGCGGCUCGUUGCGUCGGUUGUGAAAGCCCGGGGCUUAACCCCGGGUCUGCAGUCGAUACGGGCAGGCUAGAGUGUGGUAGGGGAGAUCGGAAUUCCUGGUGUAGCGGUGAAAUGCGCAGAUAUCAGGAGGAACACCGGUGGCGAAGGCGGAUCUCUGGGCCAUUACUGACGCUGAGGAGCGAAAGCGUGGGGAGCGAACAGGAUUAGAUACCCUGGUAGUCCACGCCGUAAACGUUGGGAACUAGGUGUUGGCGACAUUCCACGUCGUCGGUGCCGCAGCUAACGCAUUAAGUUCCCCGCCUGGGGAGUACGGCCGCAAGGCUAAAACUUAAAGGAAUUGACGA